AGCUCAUGCACGUUGGUAGCAAUGGUAUCGCCGGGAACAUAUACUCCAAAGGAUAAAUCAUCGUAACGAACGCCAUAACCGACAUAGACAGAGCAUUGUAAUCUCGGGAUUGAAGAACAAUCUGAAAAAGGUGCAGCACCAAUCAACAAGAAACUAAAUCCAGCAAGGACAUAUUCAUUUUUAAAAUCGAAUUUAGAAGUCCAAGAAGCAAGAUUAGCGUGAGAACUUUUAGACAUAUAUCAACGCCGAGAAGCUCCAAUGGAAGAUGCAAAGGGAAAUCAACCAGAGAAAAUCUAGUGUGGUCCGGCAGAGCGAAGCAUAAUGGUGGUUGCAUACUUGACGAAA